rnacentral:rRNA from 1 species
CGCGUAGGCGGCUCAUAAAGGCUGUGGUGAAAGUUCGGGGCUCAACCUCGAAUCGGCCGUGGCGACUUGUGGGCUGGAGCACUGUAGAGGCAGGUGGAAUUCCGGGUGUAGCGGUGGAAUGCGUAGAGAUCCGGAAGAACACCAGUGGCGAAGGCGGCCUGCUGGGCAGUGGCUGACGCUGAGGCGCGACAGCGUGGGGAGCAAACA